rnacentral:rRNA from 1 species
AGCGGCGAACGGGUGAGUAACACGUGGGUGAUCUGCCCUGCACUUCGGGAUAAGCCUGGGAAACUGGGUCUAAUACCGGAUAUGACCUCAGGUUGCAUGACUUGGGGUGGAAAGAUUUAUCGGUGCAGGAUGGGCCCGCGGCCUAUCAGCUUGUUGGUGGGGUAAUGGCCUACCAAGGCGACGACGGGUAGCCGACCUGAGAGGGUGACCGGCCACACUGGGACUGAGACACGGCCCAGACUCCUACGGGAGGCAGCAGUGGGGAAUAUUGCACAAUGGGCGAAAGCCUGAUGCAGCGACGCCGCGUGAGGGAUGACGGCCUUCGGGUUGUAAACCUCUUUCAGCAGGGACGAAGCGCAAGUGACGGUACCUGCAGAAGAAGCACCGGCUAACUACGUGCCAGCAGCCGCGGUAAUACGUAGGGUGCAAGCGUUGUCCGGAAUUACUGGGCGUAGAGAGUUCGUAGGCGGUUUGUCGCGUCGUUUGUGAAAACCAGCAGCUCAACUGCUGGCUUGCAGGCGAUACGGGCAGACUUGAGUACUGCAGGGGAGACUGGAAUUCCUGGUGUAGCGGUGAAAUGCGCAGAUAUCAGGAGGAACACCGGUGGCGAAGGCGGGUCUCUGGGCAGUAACUGACGCUGAGGAACGAAAGCGUGGGUAGCGAACAGGAUUAGAUACCCUGGUAGUCCACGCCGUAAACGGUGGGCGCUAGGUGUGG